rnacentral:rRNA from 1 species
CGCGAAUAGCUCAUUACACAGCUAUAAUUUACUUGAUCUUGACUUCCUACUUGGAUAACUGUGGUAAUUCUAGAGCUAAUACAUGCACCAAAGCUCCGACCUUACGGGAAGAGCGCAUUUAUUCGAACAAAACCAAGCGGCUUCGGCCGUCCGCAGUUGACUCAGAAUAACUAAGCUGAUCGCAUGGUCUUGAACCGGCGACGUGUCUUUCAAGUAUCUGCCUUAUCAACUUUCGAUGGUAGUGUAUCUGACUACCAUGGUGGUGACGGGUAACGGAGGAUAAGGGUUCGACUCCGGAGAAGGGGCCUGAGAAAUGGCCACUACGUCUAAGGAUGGCAGCAGGCGCGCAAAUUACCCACUCUCAGAAUGAGGAGGUAGUGACGAGAAAUAACGAGACCGUUCUCUACGAGGCCGGUCAUCGGAAUGGGUACAAUUUAAACCCUUUAACGAGUAUCUAUGAGAGGGCAAGUCUGGUGCCAGCAGCCGCGGUAAUUCCAGCU